UAAUACAGAGGGUGCAAGCGUUAAUCGGAAUUACUGGGCGUAAAGCGUGCGUAGACGGUUACAUAAGUCGGGUGUGAAAGCCCCGGGCUCAACCUGGGAAUUGCAUUCGAGACUGCGUAGCUAGGGUGCGGAAGAGGGAAGCGGAAUUUCCGGUGUAGCGGUGAAAUGCGUAGAUAUCGGAAGGAACACCAGUGGCGAAAGCGGCUUCCUGGUCCAGCACCGACGUUCAGGCACGAAAGCGUGGGGAGCAAACAGGAUUAGAUACCCUGGUAGUCCACGCCAUAAACGAUGAGAACUAGACGUUGAAGGGGUAAGCCCUCCAGUGUCGUAGCUAACGCGCUAAGUUCUCCGCCUGGGGAGUACGGCCGCAAGGUUG
rnacentral:rRNA from 1 species